UACGUAGGGUGCGAGCGUUAAUCGGAAUUACUGGGCGUAAAGCGUGUGCAGGCGGUUUUGUAAGCCAGAUGUGAAAGCCCCGGGCUCAACCUGGGAAUGGCAUUUGGGACUGCAAGGCUGGAGUUUGGCAGAGGAGACUGGAAUUCCUGGUGUAGCAGUGAAAUGCGUAGAUAUCAGGAGGAAUACCGAUGGCGAAGGCAGGUCUCUGGGCUAUAACUGACGCUCAUGCACGAAAGCGUGGGGAGCAAACAGG
rnacentral:rRNA from 1 species